GAUGACAUGUGAUCGUAAUGAACAGACACUUGCACUGUUUUGACGACUUUCUAGUCGACAAACUCGCUAACGUUAACAAGGAGCCAGAGGGUUUCGAAUCACCUAAGCCAACACCCAGUGAGAUAAUUACGAGUGCUGACGCACUGAGGUAGUUCCUCUCUACUGCAGUCAGCAGAACUGCUCUGCAGAGUAGCCAACCCCCCCAGACCCAGCCUGCAAACAGUCAUUACGCAUACCAGGAAGCCACCGCUGAUAACAGUGAGGACUCGCAGAUGCAGUGCCCUCACCUGUGACAGAUAAGUUACCACAGUACA